rnacentral:rRNA from 1 species
AUUGAACGCUGGCGGCAGGCUUAACACAUGCAAGUCGAGCGGGGGAAGGUAGCUUGCUACCGGACCUAGCGGCGGACGGGUGAGUAAUGGUUAGGAAUCUGCCUAGUAGUGGGGGACAACAUCUCGAAAGGGAUGCUAAGACCGCAUACGUCCUACGGGAGAAAGCAGGGGAUCUUGGGACCUUGAGCGAAUAGAUGAGACUAAGUCGGAUUAGCUAGUUGGUGGGGUAAAGGCAUACCAAGGCUACGAUCUGUAGAGUGUCUAAGAGGAUGAUCCGCCACACUGGGACUGAGACACGGCCCAGACUCCUACGGGAGGCAGCAGUGGGGAAUAUUGGACAAUGGGGGGAACCCUGAUCCAGCCAUGCCGCGUGUGUGAAGAAGGCCUUAUGGUUGUAAAGCACUUUAAGCGAGGAGGAGGCUACUUUAGUUAAUACCCAGAGAUAGUGGACGUUACUCGCAGAAUAAGCACCGGCUAACUCUGUGCCAGCAGCCGCGGUAAUAC